rnacentral:misc_RNA from 1 species
GUGAAUCAUCGAAUCUUUGAACGCAAAUUGCACUCAUUUCGGAGAGUAUGCUUGUUUGAGGGUCAGAAUUAAUAAAAAUCGGUGUGUUGUUUCUUUGUGAAUCUCCGGAGUUUGGGUCAUGCUAAUAUUCUAUAAGUUUUAAGAGGCUUAAAAUUGUCUUUUUUUGUGCAUUUUGGAGGUACAUAAAUACUUUUUUUUAUUCUUCUGUCUUAAUGCUCAUAAUCCUAUUAGAUUCGACAAUAUCGUGAGGUAUUGUG